UACGUAGGGUGCAAGCGUUGUCCGGAAUUAUUGGGCCUAAAGCGUCCGUAGCUGGCGUGUUAGAUGCCUGGGUAAAUCGAUGCGCUCAACGCGUCGACUUCCGGGUAGACCGGCACGCUCGAGACCGGGAGAGGUAUGGGGUACUCGGGGGGUAGGGGUAAAAUCCUGUAAUCCUCCGGGGACGACCAGUGGCGAAGGCGCCAUACUAGAACGGCUCUGACAGUGAGGGACGAAGCCCUGGGGCGCAAACCGG
rnacentral:rRNA from 1 species